rnacentral:rRNA from 1 species
GAUGAACGCUGGCGGCGUGCCUAAUACAUGCAAGUCGAGCGAACAGACGAGGAGCUUGCUCCUCUGACGUUAGCGGCGGACGGGUGAGUAACACGUGGAUAACCUACCUAUCAGACUGGGAUAACUUCGGGAAACCGGAUCUAAUACCGGAUAAUAUAUUGAACCGCAUGGUUCAAUAGUGAAAGACGGUUUUGCUGUCACUUAUAGAUGGAUCCGCGCCGCAUUAGCUAGUUGGUAAGGUAACGGCUUACCAAGGCAACGAUGCGUAGCCGACCUGAGAGGGGGAUAGGCCACACUGGAACUGGAACACGGUCAAGACGACUGCGGGAGGCAGCAGUAGGGAAUCUGACGCAAUGGGCGAAAGCUUGACGGAGCAACGGCGCGUGAGUGAUGAAGAUCUUCGGAUCGUAAAACUCUGUUAUGAGGGAAGAACAAAUGUGGAAGGAAAUAUGCACGGAGUGACGGUACCUAAUAAGAAAGCAACGGCUAACUACGUG